AACGAACGCUGGCGGCAUGCCUAACACAUGCAAGUCGAACGAGACUUUCGGGUCUAGUGGCGCACGGGUGCGUAACGCGUGGGAACCUGCCCUUAGGUUCGGAAUAACUCCCCGAAAGGGGUGCUAAUACCGGAUAAUGUCUUCGGACCAAAGAUUUAUCGCCUUUGGAUGGGCCCGCGUUGGAUUAGCUAGUUGGUAGGGUAAAAGCCUACCAAGGCGACGAUCGAUAGCUGGUCUGAGAGGAUGACCAGCCACACUGGGACUGAGACACGGCCCAGACGGGGAAGGGAGGCAGCAGGGGGGAAGAGGGCAAAAGGGGCGAAAGCGUGAUGCAGAGACGCCGCGUGGGGGAUGAAGGCCUUCGGGUUGUAAACAUCUGGCAGCAGGGAAGAAGCGAAAGUGACGGUACCUGCAGAAGAAGCACCGGCUAACUACGUG
rnacentral:rRNA from 1 species